AAAGCGAGCGGCGGAUGGGUGAGUAACACGUGGGGAACCUGCCCCUAAGUCUGGGAUACCAUUUGGAAACAGGUGCUAAUACCGGAUAAUAAAGCAGAUCGCAUGAUCAGCUUUUGAAAGGCGGCGUAAGCUGUCGCUAAGGGAUGGCCCCGCGGUGCAUUAGCUAGUUGGUAAGGUAACGGCUUACCAAGGCGACGAUGCAUAGCCGAGUUGAGAGACUGAUCGGCCACAUUGGGACUGAGACACGGCCCAAACUCCUACGGGAGGCAGCAGUAGGGAAUCUUCCACAACGGACGCAAGUCUGAUGGAGCAACGCCGCGUGAGUGAAGAAGGUUUUCGGAUCGUAAAGCUCUGUUGUUGGUGAAGAAGGAUAGAGGUAGUAACUGGCCUUUAUUUGACGGUAAUCAACCAGAAAGUCACGGCUAACUACGUGCCAGCAGCCGCGGUAAUACGUAGGUGGCAAGCGUUGUCCGGAUUUAUUGGGCGUAAAGCGAGCGCAGGCGGAAAAAUAAGUCUAAUGUGAAAGCCCUCGGCUUAACCAAGGAACUGCAUCGGAAACUGUUUUUCUUGAGUGCAGAAGAGGAGAGUGGAACUCCAUGUGUAGCGGUGGAAUGCGUAGAUAUAUGGAAGAACACCAGUGGCGAAGGCGGCUCUCUGGUCUGCAACUGACGCUGAGGCUCGAAAGCAUGGGUAGCGAACAGGAUUAGAUACCCUGGGUAGUCCAUGCCGUAAAC
rnacentral:rRNA from 1 species